GGAGGGUGCAAGCGUUAUCCGGAUUCACUGGGUUUAAAGGGUGCGUAGGUGGGUAGGUAAGUCAGUGGUGAAAUCCCCGAGCUUAACUUGGGAACUGCCGUUGAUACUAUCUAUCUUGAAUAUCGAGUAGGUAAGCGGAAUAUGUCAUGUAGCGGUGAAAUGCUUAGAUAUGACAUAGAACACCAAUUGCGAAGGCAGCUUACUUCAAGAUUAUUGACACUGAGGCACGAAAGCGUGGGGAUCAAACAGGAUUAGAUACCCUGGUAGUCCACGCCCUAAACGAUGGAUACUCGACAUCAGCGAUAUACUGUUGGUGUCUGAGCGAAAGCAUUAAGUAUCCCACCUGGGAAGUACGACCGCAAGGUUG
rnacentral:rRNA from 1 species